UACAGAGGUGGCAAGCGUUGUUCGGAAUUACUGGGCGUAAAGGGCGCGUAGGCGGUCUUGCGAGUCCUGUGUGAAAUCCCUCGGCUCAACUGAGGAACUGCACAGGAAACUGCUUGGCUUGAGUUCGGGAGAGGGAAGCGGAAUUCCGGGUGUAGCGGUGAAAUGCGUAGAUAUCGGGAGGAACAUCAGUGGCGAAGGCGGCCUUCUGGUCCAGUACUGACACUCAAGUGCGAAAGCGUGGGGAGCAAACAGG
rnacentral:rRNA from 1 species